rnacentral:tRNA from 1 species
UUAAAGAAACAAUUAAAAAAGCUUCUAACUUUUUAUAAAGCAUUAAUUUGUUUAU